GGCAGCCCAUCAGUGGCAUUCCUAGUCCUCAAGAGGCACAUCUGUGUGGGUUAAAUCCUAAGUGAAAACACUGAGUCAAAAGGAAGACCGCAGUACCUGCUGCAUGCACCUCAGUUCCCUGCAGGAAAGAAUCUGCUUUCUGGGCAGACUCACUCCAGCUGGAGAUGCCGAUAAAACUGGAGUGGAGGGCUUCCCUGACACCAGCUGGGAGCUCAGAAUUUACUAGACUUAAGAGAGGAGGGGGAGUUUAUUGGUUUGCUUGCUCUCUCUCUCUUUUUUUUUUUUAACCAUUAUUAUUUAAAAAUUUUUUAAUUUUAAUAAUUUUUUUUUAAUUUAUUUUUUCUUUCUUUUUUUCUCCCUUUUCUUCUGAGCCAUAUGGCUGACAGGGUCUUGGUGCUCCAGCCUGGUAUCAGGUCUGAGCCUCCAAGGUGGGAGGGCCGAGUCCAGGACACUGGACCACCAGAGACCUCCCGGCCCCACGUAAUAUCAAUUGGCGAGAGCGAUCCCAGAGAGCUCCGUCUCAACACUAAGGCCCAGCUCCACCCAACAGCCAGCAAGCUCCAGUGCUGGACACCCCAUGCCAAACAACUAGCAAGACAGGAACACAACCCCACCCAUUAGCAGAGAGGCUGCCUAAAAUCAUACUAAGUUCACAGACACCCCAAAUCACACCACCGGACACGGCCCUGCCCACCAGAAAGACACGGUCCAGGCCCACCCACCAGAACACAGGCACCAGUCCCCUCCACCAGGAAGCCUACACAAGCCACUGAACCAAACUCACCCACUGGGGCAGACACCAGUAACAAUGGGAACUACGAACCUGCAGCCUAUGAAAAGGAGACCCCAAACACAGUAAGUUCAACAAAAUGGGACAACAGAGAAAUAUGCAGCAGAUGAAGGAGCAAGGUGAAAACCCACGAGACCAAACAAAUGAAGAGAAAACAGGCAGUCUACCUGAAAAAGAAUUCAGAGUAAUGAUAGUACAGAUGAUCCAAAAUCUUGGAAACAGAAUGGAGAAAAUACAAGAAGCGUUUAACAAGGACCUAGAAGAGCUAAAGGGCAAACAAACAAUGAUGAACAACACAAUAAAUGAAAUUAAAAAUUCCCUAGAAGGAAUAAAUAGCAGAAUAACUGAGGCAGAACAACGGAUAAGUGACCUGGAAGAUAAAACAGUGGAAAUAACUAACGCAGAGCAGAAUAAAGAAAAAAGAACGAAAGAAUUGAGGACAGUCACAGAGACCUCUGGGACAUCAUUAAACACACCAAUAUUCGAAUUACAGGGUUCCCAGAAAAAGAAGAGAAAAAGAAAGGGGUCUGAGAAAAUAUUUGAAGAGAUUAUAGUUGAAAACUUCCCUAACAUGGGAAAGGAAAGAGUCAAUCAAGUCCAGUA